rnacentral:rRNA from 1 species
GAUGAACGCUAGCUACAGGCUUAACACAUGCAAGUCGAGGGACCGGCGCACGGGUGAGUAACACGUAUCCACCCUGCCCUUUACUCGGGGAUAGCCUUUCGAAAGAAAGAUUAAUACCCGAUGUAAAGGAUGGGGUUGCGAUCCAUUAGGUUGUUGGUGAGGUAACGGCUCACCAAGACUUCGAUGGGUAGGGGUUCUGAGAGGAAGGGCCCCCACAAGGGAACUGAGACCCGGUCCAAACUCCUACGGGAGGCAGCAGUGAGGAAUAUUUGGCAAUGGGCGUGAGCCUGAACCAGCCAAGUAGCGGGAAUGAUGAAGGCUUAUGGGUCGUAAACUUCUUUUAUAUAAGAAUAUGUAUUAUAUGAAUAAGGAUCGGCUAACUCCGUGCCAGCAGCCGCGGUAAUUC